GGUGGCUUAAUGGUAGAGCGCUUGUCUCACAUGCAUGAGGUCCUGGGUUCGAUCCCUCAGUACCA
rnacentral:tRNA from 1 species